AUACGGAGGGUGCAAGCGUUGUUCGGAAUUACUGGGCGUAAAGCGCGUGUAGGCGGUCGGGCAAGUCGGAUGUGAAAUCCCCGGGCUCAACCCGGGAAUUGCAUCCGAAACUGCUUGGCUAGAGUCCCGGAGAGGAAGGCAGAAUUCCCAGUGUAGGGGUGAAAUCCGUAGAUAUUGGGAGGAAUACCAGUGGCGAAGGCGGCCUUCUGGACGGCGACUGACGCUGAGAUGCGAAAGCGUGGGGAGCAAACAGGAUUAGAAACCCCAGUAGUCC
rnacentral:rRNA from 1 species